rnacentral:rRNA from 1 species
GACGAACGCUGGCGGCGUGCUUAACACAUGCAAGUCGAACGGGAUCCGGGCUUUCGGGUUUGGUGAGAGUGGCGAACGGGUGAGUAACACGUGAGUAACCUGCCCCCCUCUUUGGGAUAACGUCGGGAAAUCGGCGCUAAUACUGGAUAUUCUUGCUGCAUCGCAUGGUGUGGUUUGGAAAGGGUUUCUGGUGGGGGAUGGGCUCGCGGCCUAUCAGCUUGUUGGUGGGGUGAUGGCCUACCAAGGCUUUGACGGGUAGCCGGCCUGAGAGGGUGUCCGGCCACACUGGGACUGAGACACGGCCCAGACGCCUACGGGAGGCAGCAGUGGGGAAUAUUGCACAAUGGGCGCAAGCCUGAUGCAGCGACGCCGCGUGAGGGAUGACGGCCUUCGGGUUGUAAACCUCUUUCAGUAUGGAACAAGGAUCCUUCUUUUGGGGGGUUUGAGGGUACGUGCAGAAGAAGCGCCGGCUAACUACGUG